rnacentral:hammerhead_ribozyme from 1 species
UUGCGAAACCGCUUCUUGCGGUCAUCGGAACGUAGCUGUUCCGGUCUGACGAUGCAGCCCGUC